CCUACGGGAGGCUGCAGUGGGGAAUAUUGGACAAUGGGCGAAAGUCUGAUCCAGCCAUGCCGCGUGUGUGAAGAAGGCCUUCGGGUUGUAAAGCACUUUCAGUGGGGAAGAAAGCCUUGGGGCUAAUACCCUCGAGGAAGGACAUCACCCACAGAAGAAGCACCGGCUAACUCCGUGCCAGCAGCCGCGGUAAUACGGAGGGUGCGAGCGUUAAUCGGAAUUACUGGGCGUAAAGCGCGCGUAGGCGGUCUGAUAAGCCGGUUGUGAAAGCCCCGGGCUCAACCUGGGAACGGCAUCCGGAACUGUCAGGCUAGAGUGCAGGAGAGGAAGGUAGAAUUCCCGGUGUAGCGGUGAAAUGCGUAGAGAUCGGGAGGAAUACCAGUGGCGAAGGCGGCCUUCUGGACUGACACUGACGCUGAGGUGCGAAAGCGUGGGUAGCAAACAGGAUUAGAUACCCUGGUAUC
rnacentral:rRNA from 1 species